UCUGGAAGCGAGAGGAAAAUCGACACGCUAAGACGCUGCCCCGAACUGAAGUCAUACGAUAGAGCGCCGGGUAAAUGAUUCCAGCGAAAAUCUACGCUCCGAACCACCGGGGCAUGCACCGAUUUACCCAGAGCACACUUCCAGCUCCUGACUUAGGCGCUAUGCCUCGGUCUCCCCUCCCUCGGCCCAAACACCCACGGUGACGACGGCGCUCACGAUUUACGAGGGAACCAGCCUACCUGUGAUCCUAUGCCACCGGCCGUCACAGAGACUCUGUUUUGGGGUCACUGAGGUGGAGAAGUCUUUGACGCCAUUGUUAACUUUCACUAUAACCUGGAAAACAGGAUAUUGGAGAUUUAGAAUUUCCUUUUUUUCCGUUCCUUCUGUUCUCUUCACCUUUACUCUCGGCAAAGAUGCGCAUAUAGGAUUCCGGGAUUUAGGUGAGCGGGAUUCUACUCCCCGGCUCCGCUGGUAGCUGGCUGAGGUGGAGGAAGAUGGUACGACCACCCCCGGGGAAGAUGCCAACCAGGUGACUACGAUUCUCCUGUAUGAUCAUCGCAAAAUGCAAUGGUAUGUGAUUGCUUAAUUGACAAA